rnacentral:rRNA from 1 species
AACACAUGCAAGUCGAACGAGAAAGCGGGGGCAACUCCGCGAGUAAAGUGGCGACCGGGUGAGUAACACGUGACUAACCUGCCCUCGAGCGGGGGAUAACCCCGGGAAACCGGGGCUAAUACCGCAUAACAUCCUCGAUACGAAAGUGUUGAGGAUCAAAGGAGCAAUUCACUUGAGGAGGGGGUCGCGGCCGAUUAGCUAGUUGGUGGGGUAAUGGCCCACCAAGGCUGAGAUCGGUAGCCGGCCUGAGAGGGCGCACGGCCACACUGGAACUGAAACACGGUCCAGACUCCUACGGGAGGCAGCAGUGGGGAAUUUUGCGCAAUGGGGGAAACCCUGACGCAGCAACGCCGCGUGGAGGAUGAAGUCCCUUGGGACGCAAACUCCUUUCGACCGGGAAGAUAAUGACGGUACCGGAAGAAGAAGCACCGGCUAACUCUGUGCCAGC